ensembl:lncRNA
AUGAGGAAAGGCUGAGGAAACUGGGCUUGUUUAGCUUGGAGAAGAGAAGGCUCUGGGGAGACCUCAUUGUGGCCUUCCAGUACUUGAAAGGAGCAUAUAAACAGGAGGGGGAAUGGCUGUUUACCAGGGUGGAUAGUGAUAGGACAAGGGGAAUGGUUUUAAACUGAGACAGGGGAGGUUUAGGUUAGAUACUGGGAGGAACUUUUUCACACAGAGGGUGGUGACACACUGGAACAGGUUGCCCAAGGAGGUUGUGGAUGCCCCAUCCCUGGAGGCAUUCAAGGCCAGGCUGGAUGUGGCUCUGGGCAGCCUGGUCUAGUGGUUGGUGAACCUGCACAUAGCAGGGAGGUUGAAACUAGGUGAUCUUUGAGGUCCUUUUGAACCCAGGCCAUUCUAUGAUUCUAUGAUAUCAAUGUGAGAAAAUACAGUCCACAUGUUUUCUUUUGGUUCUCUUCUUCAUUAAUUCCAAAUAUUUUCCAAUUAUGUCUUCAACAUUUACUUAUUGUUGGAAACAGAAAUACUCUAUGGAGAACAUAAAUCACCUGCUCGAAGUUGUAGGUUGUAUGUCAGGAGGAAGAGUGGAGUUAGACCCAGACUUCCUAAUUCUCUUUUUCUGUCCCUUUUAGCAACCCUGUAGAUAUGUGUUUUCCUGCUUUCCUUAUGGUUCCCUAGUAGAGUUUUGUUUCUGAUAGUGGCAGACUGUUAACUUCCAGGGCUCCUGAAAAAUAUGUGAAAACAGGAAGUGUUUUGAGUUGGAAGGGACCCUUAAAGGCCAUCUAGUCCAAUUCCCCUGCAAUGAGCAGGGACAUCAGGGGGCUGGAGCACCUCCCCUGUGAAGACAGGCUGAGGGAGCUGGGCUUAUUCAGCCUGGAGAAGAGAAGGCUGCAGGGUGACCUCAUUGCAGCCUUUCAGUACUUGAAGGGAGCCUAUAAACAGGAAGGGAGUAAACUCUUUGAAAGGGUAAAUAGCAGGACAAGGGGGACGGUUUUAAGUUGAAAGGGGGAAGAUUUAGGUUGGAUGUUAGGGGAAAGUUCUUUACCAGGAGAGUGGUGAGGUGCUGGAACGGGCUGCCCAGAGAGGCUGUAGAUGCUCCGUCCCUGGAGGUGUUCAAGGCCAGGUUGGAUGGGGUCCUGGGCAACCUGGUCUAGUUUUAAAUGUGGAGGUUGGUGGCCCUGCCUGCGGCAGGGGGGUUGGAGAUUCAUGAUCCUUGAGGUCCCUUCCAACCCAAGCCAUUCUAUGAUUCUGUG